rnacentral:rRNA from 2 species
AUGGACGAAAGUCUGAUGGAGCAACGCCGCGUGAGUGAAGAAGGGUUUCGGCUCGUAAAACUCUGUUGUUAAAGAAGAACAUAUCUGAGAGUAACUGUUCAGGUAUUGACGGUAUUUAACCAGAAAGCCACGGCUAACUACGUGCCAGCAGCCGCGGUAAUACGUAGGUGGCAAGCGUUGUCCGGAUUUAUUGGGCGUAAAGCGAGCGCAGGCGGUUUUUUAAGUCUGAUGUGAAAGCCUUCGGCUUAACCGAAGAAGUGCAUCGGAAACUGGGAAACUUGAGUGCAGAAGAGGACAGUGGAACUCCAUGUGUAGCGGUGAAAUGCGUAGAUAUAUGGAAGAACACCAGUGGCGAAGGCGGCUGUCUGGUCUGUAACUGACGCUGAGGCUCGAAAGUAUGGGUAGCAAACAGGAUUAGAUACCCUGGUAGUCCAUACCGUAAACGAUGAAUGCUAAGUGUUGGAGGGUUUCCGCCCUUCAGUGCUGCAGCUAACGCAUUAAGCAUUCCGCCUGGGGAGUACGGCCGCAAGGCUGAAACUCAAAGGAAUUGACGGGGGCCCGCACAAGCGGUGGAGCAUGUGGUUUAAUUCGAAGCUACGCGAAGAACCUUACCAGGUCUUGACAUACUAUGCAAAUCUAAGAGAUUAGACGUUCCCUUCGGGGACAUGGAUACAGGUGGUGCAUGGUUGUCGUCAGCUCGUGUCGUGAGAUGU